ACAAACGUCUUCCAUCCUGAAGGUGCAUGAGAAAAAAUGGGACAUUUUCCAAUUCUUUAAAUAGGAACAUAUCCCAAAACCAAAAAGCAGGUGGAUGGAGAACUUAGAAAGGAUCAUAAUAGCCUCAGAGAUUCAGCUGAUUCCACACAUGAGAACUCCCAAAGACUAGACUAAUGAAAAUUUCUCUACAGUGAACCCUACUGAUGAGACUUGGAAUUAGUAGAAUUUAAGGUGACUUGGUAAUUCUAGCUCUGUUAGGAAACUAAAAAGGAGUUUCUUGGUCAUUCAGCCAGUUAGACAUUUCUGUAAUUACUAACAUAAAAAAAGAUGCCCUCGUCUAUUUUAACACUGAUCUUGAGUAGCAAAUCUUACUGGAAAAGAACUCUAACAAGAACAAAUAUUGGCAAGGUCACUAGGUCAGAUGGAAAUCCAGAAUCAUAGGAAAAAAGGAGAAAAAUACCAAUUUUAUUUGGUAGAAAGUUGGUAUAGAGUAGAAUAGUCAUUUAAAUUCAUAGCUCAUUUGCCUUACAAGCUGGAGUCAUGAAACAAGAAUAAGAUUUUACAUGUAUGGAUCCUGAGCUCAUGGGUACUGAAAGGUUCAAAAGGAGAGCUCAGGUUUCACAAGCUUUGUAAGUGAUCUAUUUACACCAUAUGACUAAGAACAUAUCCUUGGACAACUUAUGAGCCCAGGCUUCUGAAACUGCCAAAUUAGGAGAAAGGAGAAUAAACAGCCACAAAAAUCCAUAAAAGCGGAAUUGUGCCUGGCAUUGUGCAGCUGUAGUGCUGCCUUCUUCACUCCCUGCGUUUCCAAUCUUGCUAAUUAAAAGGUUGAUCACA